rnacentral:rRNA from 1 species
GACGAACGCUGGCGGCGUGCUUAACACAUGCAAGUCGAACGAUGACGCCCAGCUUUCUGGGUGGUUUAGUGGCGCACGCGUGAGUAACACGUGAGCAACGUGCCCGAAACUCUGGAAUAACUACCGGAAACGGUGGCUUAUUCUGGCUAUCUGCCAGCGAGUCAUCUCCUCUGGUUGGCAAGAUUUUUCGGUUUCGGAUCGGCUCACGGCUUAUCAGCUUGUUGUUGGGGUAAUGGCAGACCAAGGCGAGGACGGGUAGCCGGCCUGAGAGGCUGACCGGCCACAAUGGGACUGCGAGACGGAGCAGACUCCUACGGGAGGCAGUGGUGGGGAAUAUUGCACAAUGGGGGCAAGCCUGAUGAAGCAGCGCUGCGUGAGGGAAGACGGCCUUCGGGUUAUAAACCUCUUUUAGUAGGGAAGAAGCGCAAGUGACGGUACCGGAAGAAAAAGCACCGGCUAACUACGUG